rnacentral:lncRNA from 1 species
GCUAAAUUCUCGCAGCGCGCGCUGUCGCGGAGCGCGCGUCCCGGGUCGAUCGUCCGAUUUGUCUCUGGCGGCCAGCUGCUUCGUUUUAACCGCGUUAUAUCAUAUAUUUUAACUUAGCAACGCACGACGAUGGCGGACGCGUGUCACGGCAGGCGUGUGCUGGUCGAAAUCCCCGAACCGCAACCGAAGAUCGCAGGUCACGUGAGGAGGUCCUACUUGGACAUUCUGAGUCCUCGUGCGGGACCGUCUACAUACAGCCCAAGCCCCGUAUCCAGACGGGCAAGUAGAUCCGUCCCUUCAGCUCGGAGGCAGUGGGAGGAAGAAAGCGAUUCGCGAGGCGAGGAGGUGGAGAAAUCCCAAAGGUCCCUGUCUAAUCAGCAGCUCGUGCAGCUCCUCAGCACCCUCAUUUUACUGAAGCAGAAGCAGGAUCGUGCAGGUCCCGCCUCCAAUUUGAAAGUCUUGCUGGAGGACUUGGUUCAGAAGAAGGCCAACGUCUACAGGUCCAUCCCUUACUCCCGCCUCGGCUCCAACAGAGAUGCUCACUGCUACAGGAAGGCCUACCCGCACCUCCGAGCUUUUAAACGUUCCUGCCAGGAGGCCGGCCAGCUGCUUUUGGAGAGCGGGCAGUGGGCAGCGGCGGUGGAGUACACGCUGGUCGGGUGGAGGUACGCCAGCGAGCUGCCCCAGUGGGAGACGAGCAGCCACAACGCAAUCAGGGAGCACUGCUUCCACACGCUGGCCAAACACUGCACUUCCGCCAUCAGACAUCACAGACCUACAACCAGCAGGGCCAAAGAGCUGCUGAAGAGGUUAAAAACGACACCGCGCCAGAGUCUGCUCGUUUCACGCCGCAUUGAAGAGCUGGAGCAGCUGCUCAUGGACGUGAAGCCUUGCACGCCGAACGACUCCGUUUGAUGUUGGGGCAGGGCACCACAAUUAGUACUGAAUGACCAAAUGCAGCCUGAUGUCAGUGGAAAGGGAACGCAGGGCCCUUGGAGUAGUGCUUUCUAUGCAGCGUGAAGCCCUGUGGUGCCUUCAGUUGCAUUUAGCCAUGUGGAUGAACUCAAAAUGAAGUGACGCAAGCGCACGCCUGAAGC